AAACUCAAAGGAAUUGACGGGGAGCACCACAACGGGUGGAGCUUGCGGUUUUAAUUGGAUUCAACGCCGGAAAUCUUACCGGGACCGACAGCAAUAUGAAGGCCAGGCUGAAGACUUUGCCGGAUUAGCUGAGAGGUGGUGCAUGGCCGUCGUCAGUUCGUACUGUGAAGCAUCCUGUUAAGUCAGGCAACGAGCGAGACCCACGCCCACAGUUGCCAGCGUACUCUCUGGAGUGACGGGUACACUGUGGGGACCGCCGCUGCUAAAGCGGAGGAAGGAAUGGGCAACGGUAGGUCAGUAUGCCCCGAAUAUCCCGGGCUACACGCGAGCUACAAUGGUUGGUACAAUGGGUAUCUACCCGAAAGGGGACGGGAAUCUCCUAAAACCAAUCUUAGUUCGGAUUGAGGGCUGCAACUCGCCCUCAUGAAGCUGGAAUCCGUAGUAAUCGCGUUUCAACAGAACGCGGUGAAUACGUCCCUGCUCCUU
rnacentral:rRNA from 1 species